rnacentral:tRNA from 1 species
UGGGGUAUAGCUCAGUGGUAGAGCACGUGCUUAGUAUGUGUGAAGUCCUGGAUUCAAUCCCCAGUACCUCCA